rnacentral:rRNA from 1 species
GACGAACGCUGGCGGCGUGCCUAAUACAUGCAAGUCGAACGCACUCUCGUUUAGAUUGAAGGAGCUUGCUCCUGAUUGAUAAACAUUUGAGUGAGUGGCGGACGGGUGAGUAACACGUGGGUAACCUGCCCUAAAGUGGGGGAUAACAUUUGGAAACAGAUGCUAAUACCGCAUAAAACCUAACACCGCAUGGUGUAGGGUUGAAGGAUGGUUUCGGCUAUCACUUUAGGAUGGACCCGCGGUGCAUUAGUUAGUUGGUGAGGUAAAGGCUCACCAAGACCGUGAUGCAUAGCCGACCUGAGAGGGUAAUCGGCCACACUGGGACUGAGACACGGCCCAGACUCCUACGGGAGGCAGCAGUAGGGAAUCUUCCACAAUGGACGAAAGUCUGAUGGAGCAACGCCGCGUGAGUGAAGAAGGUUUUCGGAUCGUAAAACUCUGUUGUUGGAGAAGAAUGUAUCUGAUAGUAACUGAUCAGGUAGUGACGGUAUCCAACA